GAUGAACGCUGGCGGCGUGCCUAAUACAUGCAAGUCGAGCGAACAGAUGAGGAGCUUGCUCCUCUGACGUUAGCGGCGGACGGGUGAGUAACGCGUGGAUAACCUACCUAUAAGACUGGGAUAACUUCGGGAAACCGGAGCUAAUACCGGAUAAUAUAUUGAACCGCAUGGUUCAAUAGUGAAAGACGGUUUUGCUGUCACUUAUAGAUGGAUCCGCGCCGCAUUAGCUAGUUGGUAAGGUAACGGCUUACCAAGGCAACGAUGCGUAGCCGACCUGAGAGGGUGAUCGGCCACACUGGAACUGAGACACGGUCCAGACUCCUACGGGAGGCAGCAGUAGGGAAUCUUCCGCAAUAGGCGAAAGCCUGACGGAGCAACGCCGCGUGAGUGAUGAAGGUCUUCGGAUCGUAAAACUCUGUUAUUAGGGAAGAACAAAUGUGUAAGUAACUAUGCACGUCUUGACGGUACCUAAUCAGAAAGCCACGGCUAACUACGUG
rnacentral:rRNA from 1 species